GCACAGCCCCCUGGCCCUGCUGCAGAGGCAGCAUCUUUCUCCCACAGCCAGAGGCGAGCGAGCACCAUCGGGAUGCUGCUGCUGCUGGUCCUGACCCUGGCUGCAGCCUGGUCGUGCAUGUUCCCCCUCUCAGGAGGGCAGCGUGUGGAGCAGCAGCAAGCGGCUCUCAUGCAUACGGCUGUGAGCAGGCGGCUGACAGUGCUCGUUGUAUUAUUUUCUCUCCUUCUGUUCGAUGGGCAAGCACAAGUGCUCCUGCAACAGCGUCAGCCAUCUCUCACCAAAAGGACAUCUAUGAUUGCAGUGAUUGAUUGCAAAGUCGAGGGCAUAGAUAACUUCCAGGAUGCUUACAUCCAUUGGUACCGACAUAUACCCACCAGGGCUCCCGAACGACUUCUGUAUGUGACCCCAACAGCACAGAUUUCUUACGAGAAGGAUUCCUACAAGGACAAGUACCACUCUUCUAAAAGAGGCAAAAAUACCUGCACUCUAUCAGUCAAAGACAUUCGUGAGGAUGAUGAAGGUACCUACUACUGUGCCUACUGGCAGUCUCACAGAGCGAGAAGAUCGUAG